CCAGACUCCUACGGGAGGCAGCAGUGGGGAAUAUUGCACAAUGGGGGAAACCCUGAUGCAGCGACGCCGCGUGAAGGAAGAAGUAUUUCGGUAUGUAAACUUCUAUCAGCAGGGAAGAAAAUGACGGUACCUGACUAAGAAGCCCCGGCUAACUACGUGCCAGCAGCCGCGGUAAUACGUAGGGGGCAAGCGUUAUCCGGAUUUACUGGGUGUAAAGGGAGCGUAGGCGGUUUAGCAAGUCAGAAGUGAAAGCCCGGGGCUCAACUCCGGGACUGCUCUGGAAACUGUACGGCUGGAGUGCAGGAGAGGUAAGUGGAAUUCCUAGUGUAGCGGUGAAAUGCGUAGAUAUUAGGAGGAACACCAGUGGCGAAGGCGGCUUACUGGACUGUAACUGACGUUGAGGCUCGAAAGCGUGGGGAGCAAACAGGAUUAGAUACCCCUGUA
rnacentral:rRNA from 1 species